UUCUCUCCUCGAGAUUCCAGUCGAUCUUCGCCAGACACCCAUCUCUGUCGCCUUGAGCAUUUCUUGGGUCCGCUCUCCUUAAUACAUUUCUUAUAUUUUGAAGACUGAAUAACUUAACUUGUGUUCUAUUGUUCCCUUCAGUAACACUACUUGCCCGCAUCAGCCAACUGUGCUCAGUCAUUUGUUUUUUCACACUUCUUGAGCGCGCCGCCGCCUGGAGGGUGAGAGAGGGGAAAAGCACCGAGCAAGCGCUACGUCACAGAUGACGUGAGAGGGGGUUGUCAUUCCUGAUUGGUCAGGGUCGCGACAUCUACCCUGCUUAGCGGGAUCUUCCGUACAUCGUAUGUCCUUAUAUCGUAUGUGCGCGUCUGGUUACGUUUAGUGUGCGUCUUCGAGACUUGGUCUUCGCGUGCGUUCGCCUACUCUGUACUACUGCGUGUAAUUUGCGUGCUCCGCCUUAAGUUGUGCCUAAGUUUUUCGAUCUCAAUUUCAACUUAAAGAUCCGUAUUGUUACCAUUUACGUUUGGUGUGCGUCUUCGAGACUUGGUCUUCACGUGCGUUCACCUACUCUGUACUACUGCGUGUAAUUUGCGUGCUCCGCCUUAAGUUGUGCCUAAGUUUUUCUAUCUCAAUUUCAACUUAAAGAUCCGUAUUGUUACCAGUAUUGGUAUCAUUAUCUUUGAUUGUUAUUUGAACUAUUAAUUUAAAAAUUGUGUUUUUCGUUUCUUGAACUAUCAAUUAAAUUAUAAAUCGUGUCCUUCGUUUUUUGAAAUAUUAAUUUAUAAAUUGUGUCUAUCUCCAAUCGCACUCUUCGCUUUCAGUGAAAUAACAUCGCUAAGACCCAGAACAAGGGUCAUAAGAAGACCAAAUAGAGGGGUUCCCAACGCCAGUUACAGGACAACUCGAAUGGUUACUGCUGCAGUUCCCAGCAAUGCAAAUGGCUCUCGAGAAGCGUCACGCAGAGGGCGUCAAGCCAAAGGUCGUGGGGCUCUAAGUCAUGACUUGGACCUUAUACAUAGUAUCGAUGAGUACGAUUUGGAAGAGGAAAAUUCUCAUAUCCUGACUGAUCAUAAUCAAAUGACCCAAUAGAUCAAUACAGGUUGAUAUGAUCAAAAUGACUCAACCGACAGUUCAAGCGAGUCAGAUGAGGAAGAAGGUUGUGCAAUGAUUCGGUGGAAAUGUUUGUGAGAUGGGUAGUAGCCGGUACAGAAUAGCCAACCUUUCAACACACAACGACCCACGAAGAUGCAGGGACGCACAACCUAGAUCGUUAUAAUUUGCGUUGUUUCUUCGGUAUGAAGAUGAGCUGCAGUAUUACAUUAAUGAGUUGAUGCAGAAACCUUUCAAACAGCUCUUGAUCGGGCUUGAAACUCUAGAUUUCCUAACCUCUUUGAGAAAAAAUUCUGAAAUUUGGAUCUAUAUAAAGAUUUUAAUAACCAGAUGCUCGUCAUAGCGGAAGUAUGGAAAUACCGCAUUCAGCUAUAAUAUACCCUCUCAAACAACAAGUUUAUGAUCCUCGCUUUCCAACUAUGAUCGCAGUUGAUUCAGUUAGUAAAGUCUGUGAAGGGAUAGGAAGGAAGUACUGUACCUUGUUACUAAAAAGAUUGAGCAAUGUAAUCUUGAUCAUUGUUAUGAUAAAUACAAUAAUGAGUCAUAUUUUCGUCUUUGUGUUCACCUGUACGAUUGUUAGGGGACCCAUUUUUCCACCUACUGUUCAUCAGAUUAAAUUAUGAUUUUGUAUUUUAUUAUACGU